rnacentral:rRNA from 1 species
UACGGAGGGAGCUAGCGUUGUUCGGAAUUACUGGGCGUAAGCGCACGUAGGCGGCUAUUCAAGUCAGAGGUGAAAGCCCGGGGCUCAACCCCGGAACUGCCUUUGAAACUAGAUAGCUAGAAUCUUGGAGAGGUCAGUGGAAUUCCGAGUGUAGAGGUGAAAUUCGUAGAGAUCCGGAAGAACACCAGUGGCGAAGGCGGCCCGCUGGGCAGUGGCUGACGCUGAGG